rnacentral:misc_RNA from 1 species
CAAGCAGGAACGUUAGGAACCCUUAGAGCACUAUGGGAUGUUUUCCCUUUGUUCACAAACACUGGAUGGGGUGAAAACUCAAAUAUCAGAUUUCUGAAGAAACACAUGGGUGCUUCUUUUGACCAACGUCCUCAACCGUGGGUUAGCAACCUUACCGUUGAAGACAUACAUUCUGGUGAUUUUCUUGCAAUAUCAAAAAUUAGAGGGCGUUGGGGUGGUUUUGAAACAUUAGAAAAAUGGGUAUCUGGAACUUAUGCUGGCCAUAGUGCUAUUUGCUUGAGGGAUGCUGAAGGAAAGCUGUGGGUUGGAGAAUCUGGACAUGAGAAUGAUAAGGGAGAAGAUAUAAUUGCUAUUUUACCCGG